rnacentral:rRNA from 1 species
UAAUACGUAGGGGGCUAGCGUUGUCCGGAAUCAUUGGGCGUAAAGAGCGCGUAGGCGGCCAGAUAAGUCCGGUGUGAAAGUCACAGGCUCAACCUGUGAAUGCCGCUGGAAACUGUCUGGCUAGAGUCCGGAAGGGGCGAGUGGAAUUCCUGGUGUAGCGGUGAAAUGCGCAGAUAUCAGGAGGAACACCAAUGGCGAAGGCAGCUCGCUGGAACGGUACUGACGCUGUGGCGCGAAAGCGUGGGGAGCAAACAGGAUUAGAUACCCUGGUAGUCCACGCCGUAAACGAUGGGCACUAGGUGUGGGAGGUGUCGACUCCUCCUGUGCCGAAGCUAACGCAUUAAGUGCCCCGCCUGGGGAGUACGGCCGCAAGGCUA